AAAUCUGUCGGACGUUUUCCAACAUUGAACACCCCAAAUCCUCCGAAUCCUCUCGGCGCAAUCCUCCGUGUCUUGUAACUAGUCCAAGGAAAGAAAAAAGAUCCUCCUUGCUCAGCGAAUUCGCAAUCCACAUCGAUCGCCUCCGAAUUCCAGCAGGCCCGGACCUCUCAACAUCUCCUUCCGUUGAUUCUUGCAUUUCUCGCUGUGGUUGUCUGAUCUUUCGGGGGAUUUCUCAUUAGGUUUUUUUGGUCCCUCGCCCAUGGAGGCGGCGGGCUCCGGUUCGGCGGCCUCGACGCCGAAACGCCGCCGGCUCGAGCUGCGGCCGCUGGUGCCACUGGAGGUGGCCGGCGCGAGGAGACCGUACAUGCCGUCCCUCUGCUCCAACUCAAACAACCCGUCUGCGAAAUACUACGGUGACAGAUUCAUACCAGAUAGGUCAGCAAUGGACAUGGACAUGGCAUAUUACCUCCUCACUGAACCUAAGAAGGACCAAGAAAAUGAAGUCAAGGUAUCACCAGCUAAAGAAGCAUACAGGAGGCUUCUUGCUGAGAAAAUCCUGAGCAGCAGAACCAGGAUUCUCGCUUUCAGGAACAAACCACCAGAACAUGAAGGGAUGCUGCCACAGAUUUUAGUUGAGACUCUGACUUCCAAUCAGACCAAGCCUGCUAAACAGCGCAGAAAGAUUCCCCAGUUUGCUGAGAGGACCUUAGAUGCCCCUGGAGUGGUUGAUGAUUACUAUCUUAACCUGUUGGACUGGGGAAGCAAAAAUGUGUUGUCCAUUGCACUCGAGAAUACCUUGUACUUGUGGAAUUCAGCUGAUAGUUCUACUUCUGAACUUGUGACUAUUGACAAUGAUCAUGGUCCCAUAACUAGCGUUAGCUGGGCUUGUGACGGGCAGCACAUUGCCGUUGGCCUUAACUCUUCUGACAUCCAGCUCUGGGACACGAGCUCUAAUCGCUUGAUGAGAAAACUCCAAGGCGUCCAUCAAUCAAGGGUUGCUUCACUGGCUUGGAACAAUAGCAUCCUGACAACUGGUGGAAUGGAUGGCAAGAUCGUGAACAACGAUGUCAGGAUGAGAUCCCAUAUUGUUCAGACAUACCGGGGGCAUGCGGCAGAGGUAUGCGGCCUGAGAUGGUCAGGAUCUUGUCAGCAAUUGGCAAGUGGCGGCAACGAUAACCUGGUGCACAUAUGGGAUGCAUCAAUGGCAUCUUCUAAUCCAUCGCUGGGUUAUAGUCGGUGGCUUCAUAGGUUUAGUGACCACUUGGCUGCAGUGAAAGCUCUUGCCUGGUGCCCAUUCCAGAGCAAUUUACUUGCAUCUGGUGGUGGUGGAAACGAUCGAUGCAUCAAAUUCUGGAACACACACACCGGUCUAUGUCUGAAUUCUGUUGAUACUGGGGGCCAGGUAUGUGCACUACUCUGGAAUAAGAAUGAAAAGGAGCUGUUAAGUGCUUGUGGAUUUGUGCAAAAUCCACUUACAUUAUGGAAGUACCCAUCGAUGGUUAAAUUGGCCGAACUCAAUGGCCACACUUCUCGUGUCCUUUGCUUGGCACAGAGCCCUGAUGGAUCCACGGUAGCCUCUGUUGCAGCAGAUGAGACACUGAGGUUCUGGAAUGUAUUUGGAACUCCUCAAGCACUGAAACCUGCAGUCAACAGUGGAAUGUUUAAUAGUUUCAGCCAUAUCAGAUGAAGUGUGUACAAUGAAUUUGACUUGGAUUGUGGGCAGCAAAUUGCCAAAUGCUAUAGAGAAGCUUACAAAAAGAUGUACAUAUAUUCUCUGGAUGACAGUAGUAGGGCCAUGUGGAACUGACUGUCCAUUUGUAGAGUUCUGACGAUCAUGAACCUCUGGAUACAUCUUUCGCCUGCUAGUGCUGCGGUACCUCAGGAUGUGAGCUUCAGAUGUAGAUAAUAUGUAAAGUUUAACUCUUGUCUGGAUGAUGUUUCGUUGUUGUACAACCGAAGUUUGCCAUUCUUCCGUUUCCUUAGUUGAGAAUAUAUAAUACUCCCUCCAUCCUACAGUGGCCGGACACGUGUUUUGAGAUUUGACUUUGACAGCUAAUUGGAUCAAUAACAUGUAGUUUGUGUUACACAAAAAUUAUGUGAUUGUAUUUGU